GCACAAGCGGUGGAGCAUGUGGUUAAUUCGAUGCAACGCGAAGAACCUUACCUGGGCUUGACAUCCCGAGAAUCUCCUGGAAACAGGAGAGUGCCCUUCGGGGAACUCGGUGACAGGUGCUGCAUGGCUGUCGUCAGCUCGUGUCGUGAGAUGUUGGGUUAAGUCCCGCAACGAGCGCAACCCUUGUCUUUAAUUGCCAUCAUUCAGUUGGGCACUUUAAAGAGACUGCCGGUGUCAAACCGGAGGAAGGUGGGGAUGACGUCAAGUCCUCAUGGCCCUUAUGACCAGGGCUACACACGUGCUACAAUGGCCGGUACAAAGAGUUGCGAUACCGCGAGGUGGAGCUAAUCUCAUAAAGCCGGUCUCAGUUCGGAUUGGAGUCUGCAACUCGACUCCAUGAAGUUGGAAUCGCUAGUAAUCGCGGAUCAGCACGCCGCGGUGAAUACGUUCCCGGGCCUU
rnacentral:rRNA from 1 species